AUUUUUGUUUCAUUUUUAUUUCGCCUUGUUGUAGUUGAAUAAGUACCUGGUUAACACCUACUUCCAUUGAUUGACUAUUCUAUUAAUUUUUGCUGUAAGGUGAUUAUAAUGAUCUUUCCUGCUUGCCUUUGGUUAUUUUUAUAACUGUUGAUGCAACUUUUCCAUCUGAUUCUGUACCUCCUUUAGUUCUAUAAAUUCUAUGAAUAUUUAGGGUUCUGCCUCAACACCAAGGCCA
rnacentral:misc_RNA from 1 species